GAAUCCAGAUCGUGGGACCGUGCAGUGGUAGGCUAGUUUGACGUGGGGCGGUCCUCCUACCCGAAAAGGUAACGGAGGAGUACGAAGGUACGCUAGGUACGGUCGGACAUCGUGCUAAUAGUGCAAUGGCAUAAGCGUGCUUGACUGCGAGACCCACAAGUCGAGCAGGUGCGAAAGCAGGUCAUAGUGAUCCGGUGGUUCUGUAUGGAAGGGCCAUAACGGAUAAAAGGUACUCUGGGGAUAACAGGCUGAUACCGCCCAAGAGUUCAUAUCGACGGCGGUGUUUGGCACCUCGAUGUCGGCUCAUCUCAUCCUGGGGCUGUAGCCGGUCCCAAGGGUAUGGCUGUUCGCCAUUUAAAGAGGUACGUGAGCUGGGUUUAAAACGUCGUGAGACAGUUUGGUCCCUAUCUGCCGUGGGCGCUGGAAAUUUGAGGGGGCCUGCUCCUAGUACGAGAGGACCGGAGUGGACGAACCUCUGGUGUACCGGUUAUGACGCCAGUCGUAUCG
rnacentral:rRNA from 1 species